GAUGAAGAACGUAGCGAAAUGCGAUACUUGGUGUGAAUUGCAGAAUCCCGUGAACCAUCCAGUCUUUGAACGCAAGUUGCGCCCGAAGCCAUCAGGUUGAGGGCACGUCUGCCUGGGCGUCACAUAUCGUUGCCCAAUGCCUAUUGCAGUGCAAUAGGAAUUUCUAGGGCGAAUGAUGGCUUCCCGUGAGCGUUGUUGCCUCGCGGUUGGUUGAAAAUCGAGUCCUUGGUAGGGUGUGCCAUGGUAGAUGGUGGUCGAGUUAGAACGAUACCGAUCAUGUGCAUGCUCCCCAAAAUAUGGCCUCUAUGACCCACACGCGUCUUUUGACGCUCAUGACGAGACCUCAGGUCAGGCGGGGCUACCCGCUGAAUUUAAGCAUAUCAAUAAGCGGAGGA
rnacentral:misc_RNA from 1 species